rnacentral:rRNA from 1 species
ACGGAGGGUGCAAGCGUUAUCCGGAUUUACUGGGUUUAAAGGGUGCGUAGGUGGGCAGGUAAGUCAGUGGUGAAAUCUCCGAGCUUAACUCGGAAACUGCCAUUGAUACUAUUUGUCUUGAAUAUCCUGGAGGUGAGCGGAAUAUGUCAUGUAGCGGUGAAAUGCUUAGAUAUGACAUAGAACACCAAUUGCGAAGGCAGCUCACUACGGGAUUAUUGACACUGAGGCACGAAAGCGUGGGGAUCAAACAGGAUUAGAUACCCUGGUAGUCCACGCCCUAAACGAUGGAUACUCGACAUCAGCGAUACACUGUUGGUGUCUAAGCGAAAGCAUUAAGUAUCCCACCUGGGAAGUACGAUCGCAAGAUUG